GGACCAUGCAGUAGGUGGCCUUACCUCUUGGUAAUAGAAAAACCUGGCGUGUCAGAUAAAAUGUACUAUAAGCCAUGCGCCUGUAACCGCCCUGCCCCCCUCCCUAAUCUUGUAGAAGCCAUGCGCCUGUAACCGCCCUACCCCCCUUCCCUAAUCUUGUAGCUUCCCGUAACAGGGCCCCUUCCGUAAUAGGGCCCCGCGGGUUUUUCUUGAUUGCGUCAGCACUGCAGUAGCGAAGACAAGCCCUUCCUCUUUCCCAUGCCUCAAUGAUAUAUAGUGAGCAGUUCAAAAAUAAAGUUGCAGCUUGAUCAGCACUUGUCUUGCUGCCAUCCUUGUGUCUCCUGCCCCUCUCAUUUCUCCUUCUAGGUACUCGACCCCAGUUGCUGUCCCGCGGGUCGGGACAUCUGGCGCCCAACGUGGGGCUCGAGUGUGGCCCUUGGGGCUCGAAGUGCCUGUAAGAUUGGAGAAACGCCGCCUUCCAGGAGGAAAACUUGGAUCCAAGUGAUUGUGCGACCAGCUCGGAACUGCCCACCCGAGAUCAUCAGCAUCGGUCGACGCUGAGGAGCGAAGACGGCGCAAGGAAUAAAAAGACCCGGCUGGACUCUACUGGGACUCAUUACAGGACUCCUUGUUAUUGUCGGUAUUGU